UGGCUCCUGAAUUGCUGUGGCUGUGGUGUAGCCGGGUAGCUGUAGCUCUGAUUUGACACCUAGCCUGGGAACCUCCAUAUGCUGCAGGUAUGGCCCUAAAAAGCAAAAAGGGGAAAGACCUUAAUUGACCUUGAUGAUAUUACCUAGUACCUUAAAUUACACUGGCACAGUAUACUCAGGGGCAUCUGAGAGGUUUUCAGAAUGGUUGAUGGUAUUUCUAGGGGCAAUGGGCAGGCUGGAAAUUGAAGUUAUAUUAUGGGUACAUGGUUUUAUGCUUGUCUUUUUUUCCCAUUGGUUACUACACCAAAUUAAACUAAUGUCAUUGAAGGUACAUUUACCAUGACAUUUAUGUACAGAAAAAAAAAAAAGCCUUUUGAAAGAUUCUUAUUUUUUUUAAGAUGCUUAUUUAAAAAAAAAAAAAAGAUUUCUCACUGGAAAUACUUAGGGAGUUUUUGUAGGAUAACAGUUGAAACCAUUUAUUGGAUUUUCCCAGUUUUAUUGUUGAAAGUGUAUAUUACUAGUAGGCUGUUGUGUUUGUGAAAGUUUCAGUUUAUAUGAAAACAACUUGUGAAAUUUGGCAGCACGAGAGUUGUGUCUUCUUAUGUUCUAAUCUCUUUUAUAUAAUUACUUAUAGAAAAUUCUAAUUAGAUUGCAGUGAAAUAUGCAAGUACCUUAGAAAAGCGAGAUACUUUUAGUUUUAGCUUUUUUAAAAUCUUACUGUUUUUCCUUCAUUUUUUGGUUUUAUUGAAGUGUGCUUGAUUUACAAUGUGAUAAUUUCUACUAUACAACAAAGUGAUUGUUAUACAAAAUCAUACCCUACUUUUUUAGUUUUAUGCUUUAUUUUAAUCUUACCAUAUUUUUAAUUUCAAAAGGGAAAGGUCUACAUAGAUUUAUAAAUUAUUACUUAUAAAAUUACCUUCAAACAACUUCCUACACUUUUAAACCAUACUAAUGAAAAUAAAACUUAUGAUGUGAGUAUUGUUAGUUAUACCUCUCAAAUCAACUUUCAUAUAUAUAUAUUCAUUAAAUGGAUAGUAUUUAGUGUUUUAACUUAAAAAUUGUUUAAAUUGCAAGAUAAUAAAUAUUAGCCCUUUUAAAAAUUAGCUGGGAUAAUUUGUCAGUUCUAUUUGUAAUAUUCAGUAAAAUCUAAUUAGAAUUUUAGUUUAUCCCACUAAAAAUGAGCAUUUGCUGUUUUGACACUUCAGUGUUUGACAGGCAUUGCACAAUCAUCUUUAAACUUUACAUGAUUUCAUUUCUAGCAAGUUGGCAGGUGUUAGCUGUCUAUAAUUAUAACUGAGUAAUUUUUCAAAUGCUAUUCAUAGCCUAAACACAGCAAGAAAUUCUUCCGAUCAUGUGAUAAAGACCAAGCCUUGCAAAAUAGUGGUAGAGUGAUAUGUUCAGUGGUACUGAAGGACAUAAUUAAGAGACGCCUUUCAAAAGUUAAAAGUGAUUUAAAUGGUAGAAAGACAAGUUUUCUCACAAAUAAGAUCUCUCACAAUUGUUGAUAGUGAUUACACCUCACCAAAUUAAGGUGUGUCUAUUUUUUUCAUCUAAUGACUAAUAUAUGCAUAGACUUAAAUUAUGAAAUAUAACCUAUACUUACUCAGUUUUGUUGAUGACAGAGGUUCUGAGUAUAAGAAGUAAUUGAAAUUUUAGUGAAGUAGUAUAGAUUUUACUAUUGAACCUAAUGAAUUAUUUCUUCUCAUUUCAUUCACGAGGUAUUAACUGCGUACCUACUAUAUGCCAAACACUGUGCUUAUCUGUCUUUUGACUUAGCAACAGGAAGGCUGUAAGUUUCUCUUAAUUUUAAUAAUGGUUCUACUUAAAAAACAAAAUAAGCUUGUUCUUUCUUUUUCUUGAUUUUUUUCUUUUCUUACCAUCUCUUUAAAAUAUACAGUCUCAUAUUGACUAGAGAUAUUACUUCAGAAGCAUUUAAAGAUCUUGGAAUAUCUUUACUAGACAUACACUCAUGAAUAAAUUAACCUGUGUAGUCUCAGUUUCCUCUUUCUUUUUUUUGUCCUUUUUUUUUUUUUUAGGGCCACACCUGCAGCAUAUGGAAUUUCCCAGGCUAGGGGUCAAAUCGGAGCUGUAACUGCCCACCUACACCACAGCCACAGCAGCGCCAGAUCCUUAACCCACUGAGCAAGGCCAGGGAUCAAACUUGCAUCCUCAUGGAUACUAGUCAGGUUCGGUUCUGCUGAGCCAUGAUAGGAACUCUGUUUCCUCAUCUUGAAUUGACAUUAUUUUUAUAUCUAUCUUGUGAUAUGGUUAUAAAAAUUAAAGAUCAUAUUGAUAGUGCAUUUUGUAAACAUUGAUAUACUGUACAAAUUUAAAUAUGAAUAAACUUCUUGAGACUGUUUACUAAUCUGUAAAAUGAGAAUAAUAAUAAUACCACUGUCACAGGGUAGUUUUUGAGAAUUAAGUGAACAGUAAAGUAUGCAGAAGUGGGCCUGUUACCUAGAAAGCAUUCAAUAAAUAUUGGUGAUGAUGAAUAUUGGUGGUGAUGAUGAUAAAUGAAUAUUGGCAAUGAUAGUGAAGAAAAAUAAUAAGAUGAUGAACUUGAUCUAGGUCUUUAAGCUAAUGAGAACUCCAAACUGGUAUUACUUUAGGAUUUUUAUAUGUAGAAUUUAGGAUUUUUAUGUAAUUGACUUUCAUAUAUCCCACACUUGUUAUCCACAUGUAUUAACAUCCCUUAAUUGCCCUUUGUACAGAAAUUUUGAUAUAUUAGCUGAUUAAUGCUAAUGUCCAACUUUAUCAAAGCAUGCUUCUAACCAACUACUGCCUCAGAAAUUUGAGCCAUAGGUGAUGGCAGAACUGUAGCAUCUAGUUACUCAGAGUUCAACAUCAUUCUAGUGUGUCACCGUGGCACCAGCAGGGAGGGGUUGCAGGCAGGCAGCUGCAUGUGUCAUCCAGGUGGUCAAGUGUGUAUACAGAGGUCCAUUGCCAAGGCCUGUGCUUUGAUACCGGGACAGCAGUAGAGGAGAAUGGCCAAGACCAUGGGCUUUAGAGUUAGUCAGACCUAGUUCUAAGUCCUGCUCUGCCAAACUUUAUGGCCUUGGGCAAGCUAUAUAACCUCCUAAACCUCAGUUCCCUUACAGAAUUGUGAGGAUUAAAUGAAGUAACAUGUGCAAUACUUACUGCAGUUCACUUAAGCACGAAGUGAAUGUUAACCGUUAGUAUUUCUUGUUGUGCCCUCACAGUGAGAUUGAGGGAAAGGAAAUAAGAAGUUGAGCCCUCUGACACCAUAUGCCCUUUAAGGUACCCUGAGUAUCUGGGCAACUGGGAAAGUUUUCACCUACUUUCCAGGACUUUGGCCUUAGGGAAUAGCACCCUAUAGGAAAUAGCACCACUGGGAACCAAAAUAAGGGUUUUAUAAAUAUUGUUUCAGCACUCUGAGAACCAGUUCUUCCCCCAGUACCAUGCUAGUCUAGUAUUCCACUUAGGAACAUUUGACUUUCAAAUGCAUCUUCAAGGAUAUAAAAUAGAGGAAAGAAAAUGAUGGCUUGUAAGCCAGUGCUGUCAGUAAGCAACUAAAUCUUCUGUGCCUAGUCACUGCAUGUCUGAUGUUUCAGGCAAGUUAUCUGCUGCGGAGGCUGUCUGCAUUAAAGGUCUACUAAAGAGAUUAGAGCUGCACUGUCAGUGUUCCUACUCUGCUUCCCCCAAUGGGAGCCUGAUGUAUUAAGCAGAAAAUCCCCAGCAGUCCUUUCACUCUUGCCAGAUGAGUGGCCUGGCCUAGACAGCUUGAUAUGAUUUUAAGAACAAAGUAACUAAGGAAAGAUUACAUUGCCCCCAAAUACCCUAGAAGUAACAGGGCUUCAAGAGAUUUUGUACCAUGUUUGAUUUCUUGAAUUUACUUCAUUGGGUGUAGCAAGUGUCUCUGGCCCUCCUCCUGAGCUCCCAUGGCUGCCCCUCCUAUGAUCUGUGGCACAUUGGACAGAGUUCAGUCAUCUUCAGCAGUCUCUUAAUCUAGUUUUGUAGAAUGUAUAGUUUUGAGUGUAGUAAGAAUAGGUAUUCCAUAUGCAAAACCUGGUUCUUAACCCUUUUCAUAUAUCCUUAACCCUUUUCAUUCAGUCUUCACUAAAGAGUAGGUAUUAUUAUCCCCAUUUUAUGCAACAGGAAAAAAAAAAAAUCAAGGCUGGGAUAGGUUAAAUAACUUGUCCCAGGUAUCACAGCUUAGUGAGAGGAGGAGCCAGAUUUCAAACCCAGGCCGUGGGACUCCAAGUCCAGUCCAUGCUUUUCAGCAUUAUCCUGCAUUAUCUGAAUAAAAAUUUAAUAUAUGGCUCCUAAUAGUGAAAAUAUAUAUUGCUUUCUCUUCCAAAAUUAUUUUUCCUUCAGGAUGAAAUGUAAAACUUUGGUUUCUGGGAGAAACCACAUUCUUAGAUCUUAUUAAAUUGCGUAUCAAAUUCUUAUUUAAACCCUGACCCAUCUUGAAAUUGCAUUUGAACCUUGCUGAAUCUUUGUGUUUCACUGUAGAACAUAAUUUUCAGUAUGUUGUCAUUAUAAACUUCACCUCUUGCAAGAAGGUGCUAGACUGCGAUCUUGGAAAUAGGGUAUAUAAAAGGCUUAUCUUUACAUUAAGAGAUUACCAAGUAAAAUGGUUUUUUUAGUGAACUGCCUAAAAGAAAAUUUGGUAUAUUUCCAUGAGUAAUAGACUCAAGAUUAGCUUUGAAUGUUAAAAGAGCAUUCUCCUAGCUAGUUCAUUGUUGCCAUGACAGUGCUGGCAGUGCAAGUGUUGUAGUAACUCCUUGCAAUGAUCUUAUUUUAGACCCUAACGUUUGCAGUGCUGAACAUCCCCUUCCCCGCCCCAUAAGUAACUCUAGUGGAAAAGUACUGGUUUUAUAACUGGCUUCUGGCUUUGUAGCUGAAAGACUGCACUAUUGUGGGCUUAAAAAAAAAUAGUGUAGGAGUGUUGAGUGUUUUUCCCGUGGAUUAUAAAUGCUUGAAAUUUCCCAAAAUAUGGUAUUGCAUUACAUGUCAUACAGCAAGUUGUUUACAGCUAAAAAGGAAAGUGGCCUCAGUUGUCUUCUUAUGAAAUCAAGCCUAGGUUAUAUCAUUACUUUGAUCGCACAGAGAAAUCAUUUUGCCAUUUGUAUGUGCACACUUUAAAGCCUUUGGAUUCUUAUUUAUUAUGGAAAAUUAUCACUAGAAUCAUAAAAGAUUAUGCUUAAAUAGUGUAAAAGGCACUCUUCUCUUGUCCUUUCCAUAAUUCAACUUUAUCUGAUCAAAUUGGAGUAUUUUAAUCUUGAUUUUUUAAAUUAUGAACUAAAGUUAUAAAAUGAUUUUAAGGAAGUACCCAAUUUGAACUGUGUACUUAAUUGUUUAGAGUCUUAAUUUUGUUACUUAUAUGUUACAAAAUUAGAUUUCACUGAUGUUUUCUAAUUGUAAAUCCCAUUAUAACUAUACUAUUAAGCACAAAAUAUUUUCACACUCAUAGUAGUGCCAUUUUGUAUACUUUUGCAUUCCAUUUGUUAGGUCAGAGUUUCAUUGUCUAUGGCAUGUGCACUAAAAAUCUAGUAUAGCAUGAAGAAAAAAUUGAUUAUGGCAACAAACCUGGUAAAAGAAGAUGGAAAAUCUGUUACACUUCCUUAAUUAGUGACAACUACCAACAAAUGAUUACAUAUACUUUUUUUCCCUAAAUGCCACCUUAAACAUUUAGUUCAUCUACCUUAGAUGCUAGAGAUUUAAGCAAAUCUCACAUGAUUGGGUCUGUAGUGAGUAUUGCGGUAUGAGUGUUUGACAAGCCCUUUUCCUGCUUUUUUUCAUUUUAACAUAUAAAAGUAAUUUUCAAAACAAAAGUCUGUCUCCAAGCUAGACUUGUAUUUUGCUUUUUCACCAAGCAAUGCAUAUUUUUUCUUGAUUUUGUUUUUAUUAUUUUUUAUUCCCUUUAGUGCACUGUAUUAUUGUAAAUAAAUCUUUAGUGGUUAUUGUUCAGAUUAAGAGGUGUUUAAUUCCAGUUUAUGCUGGUCUUCAUUGGUUCCUGAUUUGAACUUGGAAGUAGUUGUAUAGUAAAAUGUGAAGAGUAAAACCUUGAGGUAAAUAUUCUGUCAUUUAGUACUACAAAUUUAUAUUAAAUGCCAUUUAUUGGUUGGAAUGAAACUAUAUUAUGGCUCUUUCUGCUUUCUUAAAAUAAUUAAUAACAGGGUUAUUUAUUUUUUUUUUUUUUCUGAACUCCACCUCACCUCUAGCUGAUCUCCCUCUCCAUCUAAGGCUGAAAUGGGUAUACUUUUUAAAAAUAAGAAUUCAUUUUAAAUCUUUCUUUAUGCCUGAUACUAUUCUAAUUCUGUGAGAGAUAUAAAAAGUUGAAAACAACCACUACCAUUAAGAAUUUUGCAAUAAUCUAGAGAAAAACAUUAAGAAUAAAUCAAGACUUUCACUAAAAAUGUUAAAUUUUAUGGUAGUAUGUUGACAGCUGUGGAACUCUCUUGGUGGGAGUGUAUCUACAUAGUAAUUACACAUCCAGGAAAUCAUCUGAAAAAGAUUGAUGUAUGAUGAUAAUCCCUGUAAGUGUUAUUUAUGAUGUAAAUGUGUUAUCUUUACAUAUCUUUAUAUAUAAGUUGAUAAUCUAAAUAUCCAGUUAUUAAAUUAUUGUUAAAUUAUAGUACAUCUGUAUAAAGGACUAUAACACAGUUAUUGAAAAUUAUUUUAAAAUACAUAAAAGAAGAAAUUAUAUAUUUAAGUGGAAAAGCAACUUUUAAAAUAGUAGGCCAAAUAUAUAUAUUUUUAUAGAGAGAGGGAAAUGUCAGGAAAUCUGCAUGUACCAGAAGAGUUAGAUUAGAUUAUUAGAGAUUUUAUAUUUCUUUUUAUAAUAAUAAUUAUUAACAAACAUAAUUUUAUUGAGUGUUUACUGUAUGCUAUGCUUAGUUAUAAGCAUCUUACAUAUAACAUUUGUCAGAUUUCAGGUGGGUUACAGGUUUUGAGGAAGAUAUCUUCCCAAAACAAAUACACAAAUAUGAAUGCACCCCCUCACUUUGAGACUGGAUUAAGUUUCUUGAUUUUUUUAGCUAAGGAAACAGGACCUUCUCCAAAUCUGGGCUCUUUCUUUGAGAAGAAGCACUUGCAGCCUGCUUGGGUGCUGCUUUCCCUGGCCCCCAGUGCUCCUAAAGGUGGUGCAAUUGCUACUGACACUCCCAGGGUCACACCAUAUCUGCAAGACUCAAUUCCUGUUAUUCUCUUGUGUUUUUCCACUUAAGGUUUACAUUCACAUUCUGAAAUAAUGUAUACAAACUUUCUCUGUACUUCCUUUGAAGGCCCAUUUCCCUGCAAUGUCUAGUUUUACACAUACAACAGUUCUGUGACUUGAAUUUUACUUUUUAUAGAUGAAGAAACAGAACUAUUAGGUAACUUAAUUCAAGUACUGAAUAUGGAGAGUCAGGAGGCAUGUCUGACUCCAUGUUCUUAACCACUAAUCUGUUUUCCUAUAGUCUUUGUGUUUUUAUUCGUGAGCACAUGUUACUUUUAUAUUGGAAUAUGACUUAAAAUCAAUGUGGGAAAAUUAUAUAACAUUCACAGUGUUACAGUAAUUCAGAGCAAGGAAAGAUCUGAGUGGGUUGGGAUAAUAAAGACAGCUUAGUGGAGCAAAUAAAUUUUAAUGUAAUAAUUAACUUUUCUUCUCAGCUUAUCUGUUUACACAAGUACACACUGCUUCUAUCCUCAGCAUGCCCAAACCAAACCUCUUAUGACUGGCUGUAACUAAUGCUCUGUUGUUCUUCCCUGCAGACUAAGUUUGGCCUCAUUUUUGUUUCCUUUCUCUGGCCCCCUUUUAUUUUCCUUUUGCUGUCUGUCAGUGCGUGUGUGAACAUGUAACUAUAACUUUUGUCUGAGCCCUCUCUCACUUUAUUAUGAAUAAAACACUAGCUUGGCUGUUUCCAUGUGGUAAUGCCAUCAUAAUUUAAUGUUUGAGCUGGCUAAAAGUAGUUGUAAAAAUUGCAUUCGUUAUAUUUAAAAAACUCAUUGGAAGGAAAUAGAACUCAAAUCUUGAAUAUUGUCUGAUGAGUUAACCUUAUAGCAUAAACUGAUGUUCAAUCAGUAUGCACUGGCACAGCAGUACUUUUUUAAAUACUAUUUUCAUACCAGUUGGUAAAUAGGAAACAGAAACUCCAAAAAGCAAUAAAAUUAAUAAAUUAAUAAUAUAUAGUCAGGAUAGGUGGUUUAUCUUAGAAACCACACAUGCACUUCAAUUCCAAGCUGGUCUGGUCACUGAAGCAUGGAGCUAGGAAGUUUGCUCAGAUGUUCUGUUAUUUAUUUCAGAUAUUGGAAGUACAAAAGCCCUUGGGUGGGAGAGAGAGACCCAGCAGGUGAACUGAGGAGAACGUAAUCAGCAACCCACAAAAAGAGUACCCAGUUGUGCCAAGAAGACAAGCAGGGUUCAGGCCUUGGUGGUGACUGGGGAGGCUGCUACAAGCCAGUGACAGAGACUCUCAGGGUAUUGUCUCUCAGUUUCUUUUCCUCCCUGUUGAAUCAGCCAGGAUCCUGGCAGGAAAUGGAUGACACACUCACAUGGGGUGCCUGAAGAGAGUUUAAUGAAGGUAUGCACAGAGUUAUGAGAAACCAUGGUGAUGGGCUAGUGAGAGCUAUAAACCCCAAGGGGCAAGAUUUGGGAGAAAUUACUGGAACACGAUGAGAUUAAUGCUUAUAGAAGGCUGCCUGCCUAACAAGACUGUGGUCUUCAGUGGAGGAAUAUACUUACUGCUGGCCCUCAGCCUGACAGGGAGGUCAGUGCAGGAGUAAUUAUGCUGACCUUCUUCUCCCUGCCUUUCAACCUGUUAGUGCCUCCCAUUGGAAGUGUGUAAUUAUAAGCCAGAUGGCAAUGGAUCUCCAAUGAUUCAGUCCAUAGAGGUGAGCAUUUUGAAGCACAAAACAAGGCAGAAUAGUCAGUGAGACAAUUUGGAGAGGCAGUACCUAUAUUAAAUCUGUUGGUAAGUGGAUUGGGGAAAGAGUGCUUUGGGCUGAGCCGGUAGAAGGCAGCAGCAAAAAUAAAUUGCCCAGAUAAAUAGUCAAGAUGAGAGCAGUUGGAGGAGGGGAUUUUUUUUUUUUUUUUUCAAGAUUUGAGGAAGCAGAAACAAGAGGAGAGAGAUGAAAGAGAAAAAUCUGGAAGGAGGGAGGAUAAGACUGGGAUAUAGCUUUUGGAAUGAGAGUCUGCCAGUGAGAGCUAUAAACCCCAAGGGGCAAGAUUUGGGAGAAAUUACUGGAACACGAUGAGAGUAAUGCUUAUAGAAGGCUGCUUGCCUUACAAGUACUGUGGUCUUCAGAGGAGGAAUCCAGUGAGAUGGAUCCUUUGAAGUGUUUAUAGUCAUCCUUAUUUUCUUUUCAUUUGGAAAACUGUCAUAACAAGCAUCCAAUUUCAGGAGAUUUUCUCUGUCCAUACAAGACUUUGACACUCGAGGACUAUGUAUGAGUGACACUUUGGGGAUUGAUGGUGAGUUGGGGCACUGUGCAGGGGGAGUGCCACAGGAGCUCAGGGAAGUGUGUUACAGUGUGCAGGAGCCCACAGUGAAGACGACACAAUUGCUUUGUGCUCAGAUAAACUAGAUCUCUGUGGAUGAGGAGGGGAAGUUAUGUGGUUGGGGAGACGCUGGAAUUCAAGUUACUUGUUGAAUAAUAAGGACAGUGGGACAAUCAGACUGCAGACUCUUGAGGUUCUGUGUAUUCAUCAGAAAAGCAACUAAAAUAAAUGUUGUUAGAAUUAAACGUUAAAAAAAUGUAUUUUAAAUAAACCUAUCUAAGGAAACAAUUGUUUUCGUUAAUAUUGUACCAGAAUAACCAUAUCGAAGGAAGUAAUGUGAUAAGAGCCUUUCUACCUUCAUUUGUUUUUCAGAUCUGAAUGUUUCUUUUGUGUUCUGGCAUCCCUUUACUGCUUCAAGUGUGAUUUAUGUUUGCUGUACUGAAAGUCUUCAUUGACACUUUACCCAAACAAAUCAAUUUUUGUCUGCAUAGACUCUCUAAAAAUUUUGUUUUCUGUGCCAUAGUCACAGUAACACCAGAUCUGAACCAUAUCUGAGGCCUACACUGCAGCUUGUGACAACAUCGGAUCCUUAACGCACUGAGCAGGGCCAGGGGUCAAAUCCACAUCCUCAUGGAGACUAGUCAUUCUUAACCCACUGAGCCACAACAGAAACUUCCUAAAACUUUUAAGGUUAACACUGUUUCACUAUUGAAGUAUGUUCCUUGUGGGGGUAGUCAUUGAAUUUCUUCUUUUGUCUUUUAAAAUAGUGUUCAUUUAUAUCUAUUGGUUAUUCAAAUGGUUUAGAGCUUUCACCAUUUUAGGUAUCUUCAUGGACCCCUUUGAGCCUGAGUUCCCUUUUGGUAGUUUUUGAUGCUUGUUCCUUAGACUGAAGUUAACCACUUUAGAGUUGUAUGAUAUUCUUAGUUUUAUCUUGUUAGGUUUUUGGACUGCUUUUCAUUGAUUCUGAUAGUUUGGGCAUUCUAUGAUAGAGUUUCUAGGAAUGAGCAUUUAUUCCAUCAUCUUUCUAGAAAUCCCCUUAACUUUUUUUUUUCUAAAAUUAAAUAACUAUUUGGUAAAUUUCUUGGGUUUCCACUCUGCUGCUAGAUUAUUUAAGCACUUUGCCAUCAUUUUUUCAUCAGUGACUCUUUCGGAGUCCCCUCCAGAUAAAUUCAUUUUCUCUUCUUCAUAUCACACAUUCUGGAAAAUAGAAGAUUUCUUGGGUUUCAUUUUUAUUAAAUUUACAUGCCAUCAGAUAAUCUCAGUGCUAUGAUACAUGUCCAGAUCUUAGUUAUCAAAUUGGUCAAAUUUUCCUAAGGGAAAUAGGAGCAACCCACAUAUGAGUCCUGCCUACUUUCUUUUUCAUCCUAUUCCAAAGGAUUUCAAUGACUCCCUUAUCCUUACUACAGGGGAAAAAGGGAAAUAGUAAACCUCUACCUCCAUCCCCACCCCUGUUCUCCAAAAAAAUAUAGUAACUACCUCUGCUUCCAAAACAGGUUUGUGCUUGCAUCUCUUCUCAUCAGGAAGCUAUGGCAAAGGGUCUGGGGAGAAAGAGAUAUGAAUAGAAAUGGUAGGUUUGUGUCUGUAUAUUAUUAGUUUAUGGAUGUAUUAUUAAGCCAAAAAUCAAGAUUUGGAUGGAAUCUAAUAAAGUAUUGCUUGUCAAUAUAAGUAUUAGAAAGAAUUAAUUUGGAUGCAAAACUAGGGUUUCUAGAGUAUUAUCUUAGUUUCAUAAUUUGACCUUCCACUAUAUAUAUAGUAGUAAAAUGGUAUUAAUUCUUUUACUCAUUCUAAAGGUAUCUCUCAAAAUUUGAGAGGCGAUCUCAUUCUCAGCUACCUUAGGUUCUGACCAUACAUUAAAAGGAGUUCUUUGUAAAAAAAAAAAAAUAAAAACAAAAACAAAACUUCAAUAUCUUCAUUUUAGACUAUAAUUAUAGAUAGUAUUCUGUAUUAUAUUAGAGGAAAGAUUUAAAGAAAAAAAGUAUUUUAAAGAAAAUAAAUAUUUUUGUUUCAUUAUUUUUCAAUCUUUAAUAAAUGGGCAGUAUUUUGUGACACAGAAUAUUACUAUCAUCCUGUCUAAGAGACAAAUGUGUGAUCCAGAGCAUUUUCUAUACCUGAGUACGCAUGGUAGUUUAUUUUAGCCUUAUAGCCUUGUCCCUGUUAAGCCCAGUAAUCUCGUUUUUUCUUUUUUCCUUUUUGAAGAUCCUCUAGUCAUAUCAUACCAUCCUUGAAGACACUUCAGAAAGCAGAACAACUCUGCUUCCGAGUUUCCUCCCCUUGUCUCCAUGAUCGCAUAGAAGGGAAUAUGUGAGAGGGUUAGUUAAAUGAUUUUUAAAACUAAAUGUGUUUAUAUUUAGUUACUUAAAACACAGUAGAUUAUUUCUUUUAAAAAUGAGAUUUAUAAGGAGAUCCUGCUGAAUAGCAUUGAGAACUAUGUCUAGAUACUCAUGUCGCAACAGAAGAAAGGGUGGGGAAAAGAACUGUAACUGCAAUGUAUACAUCUAAGGAUGACCUGACCCCCUUGCUGUACAGUGGGAAAAUAAUUAAAAAAAAAAAAAAUGAGUAACAAAAAGAAAUAGAUCUCUGAAAAUUGAGUAAAUGGAAAUAGGAAAAGGAGAAACUUUAACAACAUUCAUAUAAAGCUGAGAGGCAGCAAAAUAAAUAAUAACAAUUUUGGGGAAAAU